rnacentral:lncRNA from 10 species
UGGGCAUUGGGGUUUCUAAAGCUCCCCAGGUAGUUGGAAGUGCAGCCAAGGUUGAACACCACGGGUAGAAGAAGGGGCGGGGAUAUGUUUGUAGCUGGGGGUGGAGGGGACUCAGAUAUCUUUCUAACUGUUACAUUCUGAAUUUAUUUCGAAUAAAAAGAGAUUUUCUUACUUUUUGAGUGCCAUGUCAGGAGGCUACAUUUUUUUUUAACCUAAAAGGAAGAUAUGAACUUUCCAAAGACAAGUUUUUUGCUCCAUAGACUGAAGGGAGCAUUUUUGCUGUUUCACUGGAACUGCUUCGCUGGAUGUCUUGCCCCCUCCCGCUUGUACCUUGGUGGGAUGAUUAUGCUCCUCGGUGUGUACCAGGGAUGUUCAUGUGUAGCACUUUACAGGAUGACUUAGGAAACAAAUCAGAUGAAGCAUCAGCGCUGAUAGCCAACUCUGUGUUUCUUGAACACUGAAAAGAACAACUUUUUUCUUUUCUUGAAAGUCAGUUUCUAUAAAAUCAUUCAGAUUUCUCUCAAGUUCUAGACUGUGUUGCAGAGAGCUCCUUAUAGACAAAGAGUGGUUCAAAUUCUCUUCAGGCAAGAGGAACUAAGGGAAUGAAGAAUGUGUCAUUCAGUAUCCUCACUGUUGUUUUCAGGUCAAUGUGUCAGAACAGAACAGCCAAUGUGAUGAAAGUUGCUUCCCUCUUUCCUAAUUUUUGGAGUAUUUUCCCUCCAAAUGGAAUUGAACAAGGCACAUAAGGGAGAACACUGGGAUCUGAUCUAACACCUGUUUUUGGUUUGCUUUUUCUCUGGAAAGGUAAGUCCUUUCGAUUUUA